UACGUAGGGUGCUAGCGUUGUCCGGAUUUACUGGGUGUAAAGGGCGCGUAGGCGGGUUAAUAAGUCAGAGGUGAAAUCGCCCGGCUCAACUGGGAAACUGCCCUUGAUACUGUUAGUCUUGAGUACGGAAUAGGGAGGCGGAAUUCCAGGUGUAGUGGUGAAAUACGUAGAUAUGAGGAAGAACACCAGUGGCGAAGGCGGUUUCCUGGUCCGAUACUGACGCUCAGGCGCGAAAGCGUGGGGAGCAAACAGG
rnacentral:rRNA from 1 species